rnacentral:rRNA from 1 species
ACGGGAGGCAGCAGUGGGGGAUAUUGCACAAUGGGGGAAACCCUGAUGCAGCGACGCCGCGUGAGUGAUGAAGUAUUUCGGUAUGUAAAGCUCUAUCAGCAGGAAAGAUAAUGACGGUACCUGACUAAGAAGCACCGGCUAAAUACGUGCCAGCAGCCGCGGUAAUACGUAUGGUGCAAGCGUUAUUCGGAUUUACUGGGUGUAAAGGGUGCGUAGGCGGCAUGGUAAGUCAGAUGUGAAAGACCGGGGCUCAACUCCGGGGCUGCAUUUGAAACUGCCAGGCUUGAGUACAGGAGAGGCAGGCGGAAUUCCUAGUGUAGCGGUGAAAUGCGUAGAUAUUAGGAGGAACACCAGUGGCGAAGGCGGCCUGCUGGACUGAAACUGACGCUGAGGCACGAAAGCGUGGGGAGCAAACAGGAUUAGAUACCCUGGUA